rnacentral:lncRNA from 1 species
GGCAAAGCGAUCAUAUUUCAAUAUGAAUAUAUGGCCGGCAUGUAUUAGUUGGAAAUACAUACCUUUGUACUUGAUGGAAGUAGCAGUCUAAGUGCAUAAGAGCUCUCAUUAAGCUUCUCUCAACACUUGCUAUGGUCAUAGGUCAGGCUGGGUGCGUUACAUUGGUGAGGAAGUAGAUGUCGAUCGCAUGUCCUUAUCGCAUAAGAGAAUGAUCGGAUUCUCAGGCCAGGUGGGGCUCACGUUUGGAGUAAGGGAAAAUAUGAACACCUUCGACUUAACAGAUCGCUUGUGCCUCCAUUUUUGGCUAUCCCAAAUACGUGGCAAAAUAAGCCGAAAACAGAUGUCAAAGAGAGUGUUGGGG